AGACAGAUUUUCAUAUUUUUUACUGUGGUGCAUGGUGCCAGAAAUUUUAGGGGGGGGGGGGGAAGCCGUGAGCAGGUGACUGAAGCAUCAAAAAGUGUUACCAUACCCCAGUAAGGUCUAUAUUCUAGAGGUGGAGCACUAGAGAUGUGAGGGGGAGUCUAGAGAGCAGAAAACAAAGUAUCCUUGGAGAAAUUUAAAAAAAAUCAUGAUUCCUAGCUUUGAAAAAGUUUUUUGAAGUGGUCAUAUCAAUGGAUUUGGCAUGUCCGAUUGUCUGAUGAGACCAUAGGUAACCCAACAGUCAAUGGUAUUAAUUCAUUUCUGUUCAAUAAAAUCAUACUACUACUCAGUCCCCGACUGCAUUGUUUACGCGCGGUCAGAUCAUGCACGUAUCCCUAUAGUAAUAUAUGCUGUUGUUUUCGGCAAAAAUUGACUGGCAGUUUAGUGAAAGUAUCUGAGCUUACUUUUAUGUUGUUUAGUUUGUGUUUUAUUGCGUGUUUUUAAAGUUUUUGUGCUAUUUCUCCAGGGCUACGUGCGUAUAUAGAAAUUUAGCUGCCAACCUUAGCAUAUAUUACUAUAGGGAUACGUACAUGAUCUGACCGCGCGUAAACAAUGCAGUCGGGGACUGAGUAGUAGUAUGAUUUUAUUGAACAGAAAUGAAUUAAUACCACUGAUUGUUGGGUUACCUAUGAUGAGACUUGGGAGUGUUAAACGUAAAAUGAACCUAAU